rnacentral:rRNA from 1 species
UACGAAGGGGGCUAGCGUUGCUCGGAAUUACUGGGCGUAAAGCGCACGUAGGCGGUCUUUUAAGUCGGGGGUGAAAUCCUGGAGCUCAACUCCAGAACUGCCUUCGAUACUGGAAGACUCGAGUCCGGGAGAGGUGAGUGGAACUGCGAGUGUAGAGGUGAAAUUCAUAGAUAUUCGCAAGAACACCAGUGGCGAAGGCGGCUCACUGGCCCGGUACUGACGCUGAGGUGCGAAAGCGUGGGGAGCAAACAGG